AUGGGACCUGGUGCAACUCAAAUACAUCUCACUUGCUUAGGCUGCAUUGAUGAGAGUUGGUGUUUAUUAGCAGAAUCAGUAGGUCCAGUUAUGUUAAUCCACUUUAUGCAUAUUUGGACUUUGCAGGUGCAGUAUGUUCAUACUGUAGGUGGGUUCCUUUGCAGCUGUUAACUUCCUAUGGCUGUACAAAUAAAUUCCAUAGCAUAUUGGAGACAUAUUAGAUCACAUUUGCUUGAAAGGAACCAAACCACAACCUUACCCUGUACACCAACUGUCACACCUUCUGUCAUACAUGACAGCACACUACACCUUCCUCUUUCUAUAUUUGGGUGUGGAUUUGCUAAUCUCUGCGCUGUACUCUCUGUCUCUCUCUCUCUGUCGCUCUCUUUCUGUCUCUCUCUCUCUCUCUCUCUCUGUCUCUCUCUCUCUGUCGCUCUCUCUCUCUCUCUCUGUGUCUCUCUCUCCACCCACAUUAUAUCCCCUCCUGCUCUAAUUCUUACAUGCCCUUCUUUAAAUUUAUGCAUCCCCUUAUCUAGUCAAAAAAAGUUCCACCACUGACACGCCUGUGAGUUCUUGCUUCCUCUCUGGGUGUCUGUUAAUCUUUUUCAAAACCAUCCUAAAGCAUGUUCAUUUAGAGCAAGACAUUGAUCCAGUAAUACAUCUAUGUAUGGAUCAGCUGCAGUUGAAAGAAAAGAGCACCCUCAAUUUCCAGUAAACUAGAUCUCCUUCACGGCAGAGUUUGGCCUUGGAUUUCUUCAACUUUUCGGAGAACUAUUUGAAGAGGCAUGAACAACGUAUAUGACAAAACGACAUCCACCAGAAAAGUAUUGAUUGCCUUCUUCCUCCUGGUCUUCCUUGUUUGCCUCCUGGUCUUCCUGUACAUGUGGCUGAACCGCAAGACUAAUGGCCAGUACACAGUCCGCCAACUGGUCUAUGGGCAGGAUGGGGCCAGGGACCGGAUCAUGGCUGGGGUCAGAGUCCUGGAAGUGCGGCUUGGGUGCCGGCUGUGGCCCCUUGGCGCGGAUGAGGAGGCCAUAAGAGAGGAGGAACACAAAAAUGAAGAGAGGGAUGUGGAGAGAGGGAGCGAGGGAAGGGAAAAUGAGGGGGAGGAGGAGGGCGAGGAGAGGGAAGACAGAGGGGAUGACUCGUCGGAUGACUACUCCAGCAUGGAGGGCUGUGACCUGAGGGAGAGAGCAAAGCUCACGGGCGAGAAGGAAGAGAUAAGAGAGCGUGAGGAGGAGAGAGAGGAGAAUAUGGAGGAAAAGUGGGAAAGCAAAGAGGAUGGAGAGAGUGAUGAGGGAGCAGUGGGAGGAGAAAAAAGUGGAGGAGGAGGUUUGCUGAUAGACCUGCAUCAAUUCUCUGGUAGUGCCAUCUGGUCUGAGGAUAGGAGUGAGGGGGGCAGAGACAAGGAUGAUGUGACUGCAUUGUGAGGGAAGAAUCAGCGAGGGAAAAUAGUUCCAUAUUUCAUCUUUGUACAGCAAUAGCGCAUGACAGUAGGUUUUGUCGUCAUUAUCAUCAUAAUUGUACAUUGUAAACCUGACAAACCAGUGUUACAACCAGAUUACAACAAUCAGAGCAACGAGCAACAGAGACAAAAGUGUGUGAAAUAAUAAAUCAAAGUGAAUAAAGGGACUGACAAGAGCAACAAUUGCAGAAUGAAUACAUUAAACAAUAUUUUUGAGAUAUUAAAAGCUUUUUUAAAGGUUUCAUAUGAUGAAGCUCAGGUUUUGAGUGGCACUGUUUUCUGCAUUAGUCUUAUUACUAUUGUAAUAUUUGUGGCACAGUGGUCUAAAGCACUGCAUAUCAGCGAUAGAGGCCUUAUUACAGACUCUCUGGUUCGAUUCUAGUCUGUAACACAACCAGCUGUGAUUAGAAGUGCUAUAUGGUGGCGCACAAUUGGCCUAACGUCAUCCGGUGUAGGCACUCAUUGUAAAUAAGAUUUUUUUUCUUAACAGAUUUGCCUAGGUUAAAGGUUAAAUAAAAUUUCGAAAAAUUAAAUGUGUGUUUUGUAUAUUUUAGGAAUAGCUGUUUGUAUUGAAAUAAAGUGCCUAAUUCCAAUUAUUACAUGAGUUUUUUUUAAUCACAUACAAUAAUUCGUGUAUAAUACUUUCACAUUUUAAAUCAUAAAUACAAUUUCAAACAACCUAAUCCACCUAAGAUUUACCUGUU
ensembl:lncRNA